GGAUGUGAGGGUGAUCUGGCUACAACAUCUGUCACACCACUGAUCACCAGGGUUGAUUCAGCUGAUCUGACUGGCUAGGUGGGUGACCCCUUCCUCCCUCACCGCUCCAUGUGCAUCCCUCCCGAAGCUGCACACUUGGCCGAAGAGGAUAGCCUUCCCCGAAUAGAGACGGACUGGUCUUCGGCCUAGGGUAUACGAGUAGCUGCGCUCCCCUGCUAGAACCUCCAAACAAGCUCUCCUAUGUAGAACGUGUAUACAUGAUAUGCUUCCAAAUGUAUGUUGAAAGCCCAAUGGAGGGGGCCGGCAAGUGGCGCACAUU
rfam:Erinaceus europaeus unplaced genomic scaffold scaffold00427, whole genome shotgun sequence